UACGUAGGUGGCAAGCGUUGUCCGGAUUUACUGGGCGUAAAGAGCGCGCAGGCGGUCGUUCAAGUCGCGUGUGAAAGCCCCCGGCUCAACUGGGGAGGGUCAUUCGAUACUGUUCGACUCGAAGGCAGGAGAGGGAAGUGGAAUUCCCGGUGUAGUGGUGAAAUGCGUAGAUAUCGGGAGGAACACCAGUGGCGAAGGCGACUUCCUGGCCUGUUCUUGACGCUGAGGCGCGAAAGCUAGGGGAGCAAACGGG
rnacentral:rRNA from 1 species